GGUAGAGUGGCUGCUAGCCGCCCCGAGCAUGCGCACUACCCGCACUAGCAGGUAGUGUGGGCUGAGAGCUGCCCUGCGCAUGCGCUCUCUAGCACUGCCGCGCCGCGUCUCUCUAUCUUAGCAACGCCGCACCGCGCAUCACCGUUCCACUCACACAUACACACACACGCACAAGCACGCACGUCCGGACGUAACAGACACACUACACUGCAAUCGGGACACACACCACACACUGAAAUCGCGAUUUCGCCCUCCCCGAGCCGCGCUUUCAGCUGGGGAGGUCCUCCCGCCACCGGCCUCUCCCCCGAUGGCGGUCUGCUUGCAAGCCCCUAGGCAAACCUGCGCGCAAAAACAUCUUUUUGCGACUUAUCAGUGCCAACCUUAAGAAAAUAAAUUAAUACAUACCGCUUUCA